rnacentral:rRNA from 1 species
GACGAACGCUGGCGGCGUGCUUAACACAUGCAAGUCGAACGAAGAGCGAUGGAAGCUUGCUUCUAUCAAUCUUAGUGGCGAACGGGUGAGUAACGCGUAAUCAACCUGCCCUUCAGAGGGGGACAACAGUUGGAAACGACUGCUAAUACCGCAUACGAUCUAAUCUCGGCAUCGAGGAUAGAUGAAAGGUGGCCUCUACAUGUAAGCUAUCACUGAAGGAGGGGAUUGCGUCUGAUUAGCUAGUUGGAGGGGUAACGGCCCACCAAGGCGAUGAUCAGUAGCCGGUCUGAGAGGAUGAACGGCCACAUUGGGACUGAGACACGGCCCAGACUCCUACGGGAGGCAGCAGUGGGGAAUCUUCCGCAAUGGACGAAAGUCUGACGGAGCAACGCCGCGGGAGGGAUGACGGCCGUCGGGUUGUAAAGCUCUGUUAAUCGGGACGAAAGGCCUUCUUGCGAAUAGUGAGAAGGAUUGACGGUACCGGAAUAGAAAGCCACGGCUAACUACGUG